AUGUCGCGGCUAUAAAAAUCCUCCGUAUCUAUUAGUCACGUCGUACAAUGUUCACGAGCGGCGCGGCGCGGCGUAACUUUUUAGCCCACGGACCAUCGCGCUCGUUUGUUCGAUUACGGAAUCACUGAAUCGUUUCCGCGCGCCAAAUGCGACGCUAUUUCGUCCGUGAAAUAAGAAAAAAAAAGUUUGCUCGGUGACGAACGGUGCAGAACGAAUGGCGACAUUUUAAAAGAUGUAUCGUUGAGAUUCACGGCGGCGCAGCGUUGAAAACCCGAUCUCCCCCUGUAGCAUUAUGUGAUCUCUUAACGUAAACGUGAUCCUCUUUACCAUGCAGCGCUAUCGCGAAUAUUUCACGGGAUAACGCCGGGGCAUGUCGGGAACCGAUUAACGAACGAGCACGGAACUGCUCUUGUUUCGCGCUAAAUCCAGAUGAGCUAAAAACACGUCCCGACGCGUAUUCGUUAACAUCGGUCGUUCUGCCAAUGUGCGGAGGAGAGAGAGAGAGAGAGAGAGAGAGAGAGAGAGAGAAAAAAAAAAGGGAAGGCGCUACACCGGAGCAUUUCCAUAAUCCAAGUUCAUCCCCGGCGUCGCGUCGCAUUUUUACGAAUGUGCGCGACAUAAAAUUCCGUCCGUACGGGCCUUGUUCGUUUCGCGAAACAAGAAGAGAAGAAGACGCGAUGGGUUGUCACGCUGGAAAACGAAGGGAUCGCCAGUCCAGAGAGGCAAAGGUCGCGCGGACAUUAUCCUCGUCCAACUGAAAGAAGAGAUGAUACCGGACGCGAAAGGAACAGAAUGAAAGCGAAGGAAGAUGGAAAUAAACUGGAUGACGCGAAAGGGAAAAAUGGAAUGAUAUAAGAGGAAGAAAUAGGAAGUGGAAAAGGCAGAAUAGAGUAGACAGAAGUGGAGAGGCUGAGACAGAUAAAAAGGGUACAAAUAGAAAAUAAAAACAAAGAACACGAUGUGUGAAAAGAAGGAGAAAGGAAAAAGAGAGAGAGAGAGAGAGAGAGAGAAGGGGAGCGGAGGGAGGAGUGUUCAGAGUCUCGGUAUUUCACCAUGAAACCAUGUAACUUCCGACGGAAUGUACAGUGGCAAUGGUCGCGUGUAUAUAUCACUUCUACCCUUAACCACCGACCACCACCCUCCACGAGUAUACGGCGUCAGCGACGUUCGUAGAGGCGCUCGCUGACCGUGACGCAUUUUACGCUACGUGCUCGCUGUCGCGCUGACUGAAAUAUGUGACUGAAAACACGCGACACAUUCGAAAUUGCUGUCUUCGGCAUGCGGCCCGAGUCACUCGGUCGAGUCUCUAUCGAGUAAGAGGCAUUGAGACAUGUCACUGCAUUGUUGCUCAAGCUGUAGCCGCUGUAGCCAGGGGCGGAGACCCGAGAGAUUUAUUCGACGAUGAGAAAAUAUUUCUAAAAUCGCGCGAUAUAUCGACGAACGCAAUUAAGUGUAAACGAUAUCAUAUAUGCGCAACGAUUUGGAGGACAGCGAUCCAGCUAGACAUUUCUAUUAUUUAUACGGAGAUUACGUGGAGAGAGAGAGAGAGAGAGAGAGAGAGAGAGAGAACGAGAGAGAGGAAAGUUGUCUGGCAUUCGGUGAGCUUUUCGUAACAAGAUUAUUUCUCAAUCGCCUCUACUCCGGAUGCUCGCGAGCGGAUUGAGAAAUAAAGGACGACUGUGAAGCAAGGAUCAUGGACUUGAAGACUUUUUCGAUAGUGUCCGAAGAUUCACGGGACUGUAUUUUUUUUUUGUCUCUUUCCCUUUUUGUUUUUCUGCCAUCUGUCUGUCCAUCAGGCAGAUCCGAUCUUUUUGAGGAGGGCUGAAUAAUAGAACAGAGUCAUCGCGUAGCUCGAGGCUGGCCAACCUGUAUUCUCGCACCCUCGGACUAGUCCGGAAUAGUUGUGAAUAACGAUGCUCGAGAGAGCGCCGGCCCCUUGUCGGUGCUGGCGCUCCAAGUACCAGAGCCAUCAACCCAACCCUACCAACGUCCCCUUUUUCGCUCGCUACAGAAGAGAGCAGCAUAUAGAGUUGUGUGUAUGUGUGUUGGCUAUACUUUCUAUAAAAUAAAAUACAUGUCGCCACCGCCUUCUCAUACCAGACACAUGCGGAAGACAACGAGAAGAAGAAGAGGAGAGAAGAAGUGCUUUCGUCUCUUGUUUCUCCAUCCCUCCUAAACACGACGUGACGUGAAAGGCAAAGAGAACGAAGGAUAUCGAGUUUGAGCGCCAAUCGAUGGCGAGGCUUCAAUCGCCGACUGACGUAAACAGAUAUAUUUUUUUUGCAUCUCGUUUAAUUACGUGUCCAGAAAAUUAUAUUUUAAUUUUAAUUCAAAUGCAAUUACUAUAAUAAAUGUAACCAAACUAUAAGGUUGAAAAAUUAAAUAAUCAUAUUUUUCUCAUUGUGUGUGAAAAAGUAAAUGGUAUUGCAAAAAUAAAUGCGCAAAAAUUUUGGUCAUUUUAUUUUAACAAAAUUAUCACACACACGCGUGAAAUAGAGCGAGAAAGAGAGAGAGAGAGAGAGAGAGAAAUUCGUCCUGUGCCGAUACUGUCAUUUCCAAAAAAUAUCAACGUAAAAUUUUUUAUUGCACAUUUUAUGAGCUAAUAAAAUAACGUGCUCAUGAAAGUAUACGUAAAUCGUUCACUUUUCAAUUAACCGGAUAAAUUGAAACACCAUCGCUGUCAAGGCUUUUGGUGCAGUCUACCGACAUCUAAUUCUACAGGACAAUAUCCAACGUGUUAACCCAGUAGAACAGACAGAGUAAAAUUUGGAAUCAGUUACAUCAAGAUAAACCGAGCUAAAGCGGAGCAAUUAGAGCGCGAGAAGGGCAAAGUCGAGACGGGCGGUGGUCCGCUUGACACUACAUGUUUGGUCGCGGAAGACAAAGCAGAAACCAUUCGGGACGCUCGCCACCACCGCGAGAGUUGACGAGCAAAUGGGGAGAGAACUGGAAAACUUAACAAUGCCCGGAGGUCGUCGUGUCACGGGGAAGGAAGGCCAAAAAGGCGGAGUUUCGUGAAGAGUUUCAGAUCGACAAUCGGAUUGGCGUCCAUCGCGUCUCUAUUCCCGUGACAUAGCGUCGUCAACAAGCGGAUAUCAAUCUUCAGCGGAAGCUACGUCGUCCAGCGAUGUGUACGAACGUCUACUAGACACAUACAAACGUACGUAUCCAGCGAGGGACAUAAAGACGAAAAAGAUGUCUCCAGACAGAAGGACGGUCUCAUGUCGUUUCAACGAUACCACGAUAUUAUCCUCGAGUUUCGUAGAGAACUCGAGUCUUUCGCGAGCGAUGUGCGCGCUUCGUUCCGUUGGAAAAAUAUUUAUUCGACCGCGAUGGAAAGGAGAAGUCUCUCCCUAUAUACUUGCGACAGAAGCGCGCGGUGCAUAACCCGUGUUCCAUGGCCGUGUGUGCGCGCAUCGGCGCGGCGCGGCGGUCCCUUUUGGAUUUCGCCGGCGAAACGAGAGGUCUCAAUCCGCUUGAAGCAGUGAGCGAACACGAGAGUCCGAGAGUGACGCUAGAAAUGAGGUAAAACGAGGUACGUACGUCCCGAUACUGGAGUCUGAUUUCGCAGAGAGCUUUUAGCGACUAAACUGCGCGACUAAUAUCGUAUAAAAGAAUGCAUUUGCGA